AAUUUCCUUUCAAAAAUUUGUCUAAACUCAACCCUUCAUCAUGAUCAAGUCUGCUUUUCCCCACUCACCUUCUAACAAGCGGUCGAUAAUGGAAUCCAAAUCCACAUCUGGGUUCGACAUUUUACAGGUAUCCAAUAUAACCGCUUUUGACACUUAUGAAGUCAAAUUUUUGGGUCUGUGAUUAAUUUUUUACUCGACCGAAUUUCGACGAUUUUUCUUCCAAGUAAAGUGUUCCGAGGAAAAGUAAGACGGACGGAGAACGGUAUUCAGUCGGCAAACCGUUUAAAAGCAAUAUUUGCUGCUAACUCAGAAAUAAAGGUUAUGGCUAACAGUAGGAAACUGGAGUGAGUUGUAUGUAGUAGGUAGUUGAAUGGUUGGGUGGUGGGUGUACAACGAGCUUGAUGCAUAAUAUGUGCCUACUUUCCUAUAUUCCUAGUUUCUAUAAUCACUACUACAUUAAAAAAACGUAUAUAAACCUAUAAUUAAAUUACUUUGGAAUUCUUUUCUUAUAUUAAUUGUUGAUUUUAAACAACCCUCUAAAUC